rnacentral:tRNA from 1 species
CUCCCUAUGGCUCAGUUGGUAGAGCAUGGUGUUUGCAAUGCCAGGGUUGUGGGUUCGAUUCCCACAGGGGGC